rnacentral:rRNA from 1 species
CCUACGGGAGGCAGCAGUGAGGAAUAUUGGUCAAUGGGCGCGACCCUGAACCAGCCAAGCCGCGUGAGGGAUGAAGGUUCUAUGGAUCGUAAACCUCUUUUGUAAGGGAAUAAAGUGUGGGACGUGUCCUAUUUUGUAUGUACCUUAUGAUUAAGGAUCGCCUAACUCCAUGCCAGCAGCCGCGGUAAUACGGAGGUUCCGAGCGUUAUCCGGAUUUAUUGGGUUUAACGGGUGCGUAGGCGGACUGUUAAGUCUGAAGUGAAAGUCUGUGGCUCAACCAUAGAAUUGCCGUUGAAACUGGGGGGCUUGAGUGUGGGUGAGGCAGGCGGAAUGCGUGGUGUAGCGGUGAAAUGCUUAGAUAUCACGAGGAACCCCGAUGGCGAAGGCGGCCUGCCAAGCCAUGACUGACGCUGAUGCACGAAGGCGUGGGGAUCAAACAGGAUUAGAUACCCCUGUAGUC